GACGGAGGUGGCGAGCGUUGCUCGGAUUCAUUGGGUGUAAAGGGUCGGUAGGCGGUUCAAUAAGUGCCUGGUGAAAUUUCACGGCUUAACCGUGGGACGUCCGGGUAGACUGUUGGACUUGAGGACUGGAGGGGCAGGCGGAAUUCCCGAAGUAGAGUGAAAUCUGUAGAUAUCGGGAGGAACACCAGUGGCGAAGGCGGCCUGCUGGACAGUAUCUGACGCUGAGCGACGAAAGCGUGGGGAGC
rnacentral:rRNA from 1 species